rnacentral:lncRNA from 1 species
CCAACUUCUUCUUUUGUAAUCUAUGAGGAAAUGGGACCGGAGGCACAUAAGGUUUGAUAAGAGCGGUUACCUUGACCUGUAGAUUUUCUAGCUCUUGAGAUGGAACUACUUUGUCUAGAUGUUUAGAUUUAUCCACCUACUCCUCAUCUGUAAAAGGUGACUUUUUAUUUUCUGUCACCCGUCUCUCAACUAUAAUUUCUGGAAGUUUAACCCCACUGUGUGUAGUGAUUGCUUCAAUCUUCUCACUCUCCAUAACUUUUACUGUCAUUACCUGCUGUUUAGGAUUUGUUUCCGUGUUGCUUGAUGUCUUUCUGAGAGUGCUUUUGCUAUUUAUCCCAUCUGAUUUUCUAAAUUCUUGAUAGCAGCUUCCUGAACUUGUAAAGUCUUAUCUGUUCUUUGCAUGUGCUGAGUAGAGAUCUCCGCCAAUUUAGUAAUAAGAUCUUCCAAUGAAGACUAAUUUUCAGCCUGCUCAAAACUUAGCGGUGUAGUCUGCUAUGGUGCAAUCUGAGCUCCCUGAUUGUUGCUCCAUUAAAAACCUGGGUGAUUUCUCCAGCCUGGGUAGUAGGUAUUAGGAUUCUUAUUAUGUUGUUGUCUUUGAAAAUUUUGAGCAUAAUUUAUAUCCUUUAGUGAUUGAGCAAAAGGACUACCAACGGUACAAUUAACACUUUCAUGAUUUCCUCCACAGUGCUUACAUUUUUGUCCGACUGUUUGAAUGACAUUCAUCUUAUAGACCUUUUUAGCUAAAGCUGCCAGCUGUGCUGAGAUUGCAGUUAAUGGAUCCACCUCAUGUAUCCCAGCUAAUUUCUUUACACUUGUUCUUUCAGUAGGCCACAGUGCACUAGUAAAUGCUAAAUCCUCCAUGAUUUGAUAUACUUGAUCUGUUGUUCUCUUUGUGAUGGAACCAUCACAUGCGGAGUCAACAUUAGCCCUGCUUUUCGGAUUUAGUCCAAUAUAGAAGUAUUGCAUUUGAAGCCACUUUUGCAAUCCGUGUUGAAGGCAACGGCGAAGUAAACCCUUGUAUCGUUCCUAAGCCUUGCAUUCUGAGUCCAUUUGCUGAAAAGUAGUGAUCUCGUCCCUUAGCUUUUCAAUCCUUUUUGGUGGGAAAUAUUUGCUAAGAAAUUUUUUACUCAAUUGGUUUCAUGUUGUCAUUCUCUGUGGUCGGCAAGUGUCUAACCAUCCCCUUGCGGAGUCUCUCAAUGUGUAUGGGAAGAGCCUUAAUCUAAUUGCUUCGCUUGAAACCCCCGGAUACUCAAUUGUUGCACACAUGUCUAGGAAUCUUGAAAUAUGAGCGUUGGGAUUCUCUGUAGCUUUCCCAAAAAAUUGUAGCGCAUUUUGAAACAUGUUGAUGACAUCUGUUCUCAGGUGGAAGUUUGCCUGACAAAACGCCGAAUAUACGAUACUGGACUGGCUUUCCAUUACCAGUGAAACCAUAUACUCUCCCUCAUGCCUUGCAUUUUCAUUCACUGCAACGAUAUUCAGUUGUGCUACUCCCAAAUUAGCCUCGAU